UGUGAGCUCGAUGAGUAGGGCGGGACACGUGGUAUCCUGUCUGAAUAUGGGGGGACCAUCCUCCAAGGCUAAAUACUCCUGACUGACCGAUAGUGAACCAGUACCGUGAGGGAAAGGCGAAAAGAACCCCGGCGAGGGGAGUGAAAAAGAACCUGAAACCGUGUACGUACAAGCAGUGGGAGCCUCUUUUAUGGGGUGACUGCGUACCUUUUGUAUAAUGGGUCAGCGACUUAUAUUCUGUAGCAAGGUUAACCGAAUAGGGGAGCCGAAGGGAAACCGAGUCUUAACUGGGCGUUAAGUUGCAGGGUAUAGACCCGAAACCCGGUGAUCUAGCCAUGGGCAGGUUGAAGGUUGGGUAACACUAACUGGAGGACCGAACCGACUAAUGUUGAAAAAUUAGCGGAUGACUUGUGGCUGGGGGUGAAAGGCCAAUCAAACCGGGAGAUAGCUGGUUCUCCCCGAAAGCUAUUUAGGUAGCGCCUCGUGAAUUCAUCUCCGGGGGUAGAGCACUGUUUCGGCAAGGGGGUCAUCCCGACUUACCAACCCGAUGCAAACUGCGAAUACCGGAGAAUGUUAUCACGGGAGACACACGGCGGGUGCUAACGUCCGUCGUGAAGAGGGAAACAACCCAGACCGCCAGCUAAGGUCCCAAAGUCAUGGUUAAGUGGGAAACGAUGUGGGAAGGCCCAGACAGCCAGGAUGUUGGCUUAGAAGCAGCCAUCAUUUAAAGAAAGCGUAAUAGCUCACUGGUCGAGUCGGCCUGCGCGGAAGAUGUAACGGGGCUAAACCAUGCACCGAAGCUGCGGCAGCGACGCUUAUGCGUUGUUGGGUAGGGGAGCGUUCUGUAAGCCUGUGAAGGUGUGCUGUGAGGCAUGCUGGAGGUAUCAGAAGUGCGAAUGCUGACAUAAGUAACGAUAAAGCGGGUGAAAAGCCCGCUCGCCGGAAGACCAAGGGUUCCUGUCCAACGUUAAUCGGGGCAGGGUGAGUCGACCCCUAAGGCGAGGCCGAAAGGCGUAGUCGAUGGGAAACAGGUUAAUAUUCCUGUACUUGGUGUUACUGCGAAGGGGGGACGGAGAAGGCUAUGUUGGCCGGGCGACGGUUGUCCCGGUUUAAGCGUGUAGGCUGGUUUUCCAGGCAAAUCCGGAAAAUCAAGGCUGAGGCGUGAUGACGAGGCACUACGGUGCUGAAGCAACAAAUGCCCUGCUUCCAGGAAAAGCCUCUAAGCAUCAGGUAACAUCAAAUCGUACCCCAAACCGACACAGGUGGUCAGGUAGAGAAUACCAAGGCGCUUGAGAGAACUCGGGUGAAGGAACUAGGCAAAAUGGUGCCGUAACUUCGGGAGAAGGCACGCUGAUAUGUAGGUGAAGUCCCUUGCGGAUGGAGCUGAAAUCAGUCGAAGAUACCAGCUGGCUGCAACUGUUUAUUAAAAACACAGCACUGUGCAAACACGAAAGUGGACGUAUACGGUGUGACGCCUGCCCGGUGCCGGAAGGUUAAUUGAUGGGGUCAGCGCAAGCGAAGCUCUUGAUCGAAGCCCCGGUAAACGGCGGCCGUAACUAUAACGGUCCUAAGGUAGCGAAAUUCCUUGUCGGGUAAGUUCCGACCUGCACGAAUGGCGUAAUGAUGGCCAGGCUGUCUCCACCCGAGACUCAGUGAAAUUGAACUCGCUGUGAAGAUGCAGUGUACCCGCGGCAAGACGGAAAGACCCCGUGAACCUUUACUAUAGCUUGACACUGAACAUUGAGCCUUGAUGUGUAGGAUAGGUGGGAGGCUUUGAAGUGUGGACGCCAGUCUGCAUGGAGCCGACCUUGAAAUACCACCCUUUAAUGUUUGAUGUUCUAACGUGGACCCGUGAUCCGGGUUGCGGACAGUGUCUGGUGGGUAGUUUGACUGGGGCGGUCUCCUCCUAAAGAGUAACGGAGGAGCACGAAGGUUGGCUAAUCCUGGUCGGACAUCAGGAGGUUAGUGCAAUGGCAUAAGCCAGCUUGACUGCGAGCGUGACGGCGCGAGCAGGUGCGAAAGCAGGUCAUAGUGAUCCGGUGGUUCUGAAUGGAAGGGCCAUCGCUCAACGGAUAAAAGGUACUCCGGGGAUAACAGGCUGAUACCGCCCAAGAGUUCAUAUCGACGGCGGUGUUUGGCACCUCGAUGUCGGCUCAUCACAUCCUGGGGCUGAAGUAGGUCCCAAGGGUAUGGCUGUUCGCCAUUUAAAGUGGUACGCGAGCUGGGUUUAGAACGUCGUGAGACAGUUCGGUCCCUAUCUGCCGUGGGCGCUGGAGAACUGAGGGGGGCUGCUCCUAGUACGAGAGGACCGGAGUGGACGCAUCACUGGUGUUCGGGUUGUCAUGCCAAUGGCACUGCCCGGUAGCUAAAUGCGGAAGAGAUAAGUGCUGAAAGCAUCUAAGCACGAAACUUGCCCCGAGAUGAGUUCUCCCUGACUCCUUGAGAGUCCUGAAGGAACGUUGAAGACGACGACGUUGAUAGGCCGGGUGUGUAAGCGCAGCGAUGCGUUGAGCUAACCGGUACUAAUGAACCGUGAGGCUUAACC
rnacentral:rRNA from 1 species